UACGUAGGGUGCAAGCGUUAAUCGGAAUUACUGGGCGUAAAGCGUGCGCAGGCGGCUUUGCAAGACAGAUGUGAAAUCCCCGGGCUUAACCUGGGAACUGCAUUUGUGACUGCAUGGCUGGAGUGCGGCAGAGGGGGAUGGAAUUCCGCGUGUAGCAGUGAAAUGCGUAGAUAUGCGGAGGAACGCCGAUGGCGAAGGCAAUCCCCUGGGCCUGCACUGACGCUCAUGCACGAAAGCGUGGGGAGCAAACGGG
rnacentral:rRNA from 1 species